UAGAACGCUAGCGGGAGGCCUAACACAUGCAAGCCGAGCGGUAUAGAUCUUUCGGGAUCUAGAGAGCGGCGCACGGGUGCGGAACACGUGUGCAACCUACCUUUAUCAGGGGGAUAGCCUUUCGAAAGGAAGAUUAAUACCCCAUAAUAUAUUAGAUGGCAUCAUUUGAUAUUGAAAACUCCGGUGGAUAGAGAUGGGCACGCGCAAGAUUAGAUAGUUGGUGAGGUAACGGCUCACCAAGUCAAUGAUCUUUAGGGGGCCUGAGAGGGUGAUCCCCCACACUGGUACUGAGACACGGACCAGACUCCUACGGGAGGCAGCAGUGAGGAAUAUUGGACAAUGGGUGAGAGCCUGAUCCAGCCAUCCCGCGUGAAGGAUGACGGCCCUAUGGGUUGUAAACUUCUUUUGUAUAGGGAUAAACCUACCCUCGUGAGGGUAGCUGAAGGUACUAUACGAAUAAGCACCGGCUAACUCCGUGCCAGCAGCGGGGUUAAUAA
rnacentral:rRNA from 1 species